rnacentral:rRNA from 1 species
GUGCCAGCAGCCGCGGUAAUACGGAGGAUCCAAGCGUUAUCCGGAAUCAUUGGGUUUAAAGGGUCCGUAGGUGGAUAAUUAAGUUAGGGGUGAAAGUCUGCAGCUCAACUGUAGAAUUGCCCUUAAUACUGGUUAUCUUGAAUUAUUGUGAAGUGGUUAGAAUAUGUAGUGUAGCGGUGAAAUGCAUAGAUAUUACAUAGAAUACCAAUUGCGAAGGCAGAUCACUAACAAUAUAUUGACACUGAUGGACGAAAGCGUGGGGAGCGAACAGGAUUAGAUACCCUGGUAGUCCACGCCGUAAACGAUGGUCACUAGCUGUUCGGACUUCGGUCUGAGUGGCUAAGCGAAAGUGAUAAGUGACCCACCUGGGGAGUACGUUCGCAAGAAUGAAACUCAAAGGAAUUGACGG